UGAAAGGCUCCCUGCGCUCGCUGCGAACGAAGUGGUGUUUCGCGCAUCUAUUUUUACCGUGUUUAUCAAUAUUACGUGCGGUUAUCGUUGUUGAAUGAACACGUACUACUUACAUCGCGUGUCGGGACGUUCGGGUCGUUGUUUGACAUGGAAUCGACGGCGGCGAUGCGUCGUCGUGGCACCAACCAACGGACGCGAGCUUUGAACAAGAGCGCAAGCGCGGGCCGUUUGACGAGACAGUCGCCGCAGCGGAUACAACACCUCGCUCAAGAGACUGAAGUGGUGGACAGCUUGCUGUGAAAGAUGGAAGCGUUCUUCCUGCAAGUCUGGACAAGGCCAUAUUAAAUGGCUUCAUCUGUCACAAAUCGCUGGCCACGAAUGUAAAGAAUACCUUGGCCCCACUUCUGUCGAGGGAACCGAAGUUGCCUGAACAGAUGAAGAGGGGUGGUGCUACCAAUAGUGAACGACUGUGAUUUUAUAAUGUGCAAGUGUAUGAAAAAUCUUGUUACACUAAUUUAACGUUAAUUGCAUUCACUAGUCAAGUGUCAAUAUUGUAAUGUGUAAGUUUAUGCACAGUUGCAUUAAGUGAGCGCUCAUUCAAGCUUCAAGUUCGCAAUCAUAUAUUUUGGUGGUAUUCAUAGGGCACACAUUCCACUUUAAAUUGUGAUCUGCUCCUUUACUGAGGGUGCAUGCAGGUCCUUGAAACGAUUGAAAACCCUUGAAAAAGUAAAAGUACAUUUUUAAAGCCCUGAAACCCUUGGAAUUUCUUAGCAUAUAGUGUCCAAUAUUGACAAUACUAAUUUCUUUCGGUGUUCUGUAAACAUUUGUCUAGCAAACUGAGGGAACAUGUCAUGCUCAGUGAUGAUUCGGCUACUCUGUUUACCUUGCUUGCAUCACUGCUUUACCGAUCAUUCAUUUCAUUUCCGCAACUGUCGGUCCGCCUUCUCCCCCUUUCUCUUGAUUUGGCUUCUUGGGACUCGACUUCACUUCCAGCGCUUAUGCUAGUUUCUCUUCUUCUAUAGCAAGCUCACUACUUGUGAUAGAUCUUCUAGCUCAACAAACAUCCACUGUCCUAUAAUGCAGGCAAAAUGUGAAAAAAAAGUUGAUGCUUUGUGUUAGAAACCAAGUACUUCUGACUAAAGCUGAUGGCACUGCUGCUCAGGCUUAGUGAUUGACUCCCAUGUAGUGAUUGUUAUUGCUCUUUUGUGUAGGCAAGAACCUUGACUUUAUAUGU